GUUGCAGCGUCCCUUGGCUCAGGGGAGACUGGGGCUGGUUUCUGGGUUUCUGCCUCAGCCCUGGGUGGGCAGGGCUGGUGCCCUCCAGCAAAGAGAACCACCAAGAAGGCUUUUGCCAUUGACUGUGGCCUGGUGCCCUGGUCUCUGUUUGCUCUGAGAACCUGAGAUGGGUUUUGGAUCCCUUGUGCUGCUUGUGCUGCUACCCUUCAGUGUUCUGGUCAGAACCGGGCAGCCCUGGGUCAGCCUUCCUGAGGUGGAUCUCACCGGAGAGCCCAGGACCAGCUGAGGUCUGAACUUUAGAAUCCUGUCAGAAAACCCUGCGAUAUGAGCUACAGAAUCUCAAUGUCACCCUGCGUGGCUAGUCCUGCGCUCCUGACACAGAAGAAGAAAUAUCUGAAGAUCAUUCCACUACAUUGUGGCUGACAUCUGGGACCUAAACGCAGGAGGGCAUGAUUGUUUCAACUAAGAGAAGAAAUCUCUACUUCUUUUACUCUCUAUCCUUGCAAAGCCUAUACAUAGUGCUGUCUUUUAUACUCAAUCUCUGACUUCUCGGUAAAUGUUUGCAUCAAAGACAGUCUGCUCCCCUCUUCCCAAGCUCCCUAAAGACCGGCCGAGUUGGUUCUCCCUUGGGUACUCAUCUCUCCCCACCCUACCCACCUCAAGCAACCUCAGGCACAGAGCCUCCAUCUCCGCUGUGAAGUAUUUAGCCGGCAGCCCAUGCAAAUCAGUUUUGCCUGCAGGUCUUCUGGGAAGAAAGGCAGGCUCUGAGGCACGGCUCUUGCCCUGCGUUCUGGGAAGCUGCAUUUUUUCACUGCUGCUUUCAAGUGACCCGGAUCUCAUUGCAGAUAUUCAGAUGGGGCGCGAGGCCGAGGAGGCGCCUGAGAAAUGGGAACUUGGCUUGCUUGUUGCCUUUCGUAGUCGGUGGGAGAGAACCACAAGCCAGUCCAGAUCUUAUCUCCCCAGGAUGGGGCAGGAGAACAACACAGCAAAACAGCCGCCCGCCCGUAAAGUACGCCACCUCGUGUCUUCACGCCACACACCCACAUGCGGUGAAGGUGCUGUUUCCCAUGCAGUUGAAAGCAGAGGGCGAAGCAGCAGCAGGGAUUCCCUGACUGAGGCCCGAUGGAGAGGCUCGACCCGGUGAGGGAGCAGUGGACACACCCGGCUCUCAGGACUCCUCUCCUCCACCCCAACUAAAUCCCUGGAGCAGCUUAGACCUGGCAGCGGCUGGGCUGCUCUCAUCGUCUAGAAGAGGCAACCCAGCAACACACCUUAUUAAGCACCUAGUGUGCAUCCCAGACUUAUGCUCUGGGGGAUACAAUUAAGUAAAAGACAGCCCUUGCCCACGUGGAAAGUAAUAAAAAUCGAGUGGAGGAGACCAGCCACAAAUAAAGGAAAAGUUAAAUAAUGUAUCACACACAAACACAUAGAUAAAUCGUACACAAGAGCGGUUACGAGUGGUACAUGACUAAUUGGCAAAUGAAAGACACGUUCACUCUCGGUUUGCUCCCACACUGACAUUUCACUGAACCAACGGAACAGAAGGAUAACACACCACUGCACCUAGCUGAGCUGGGGAGGGUGAGCUGGGGGCGGGAAGGCGAGGGGUUCUCAGAGUAGGGCACCAUGAAGAAGUCAUGGCUGGGGCUACCUCUACAUGUCCCCCAUGUGGUAUCAGAAGGGCUUGUUUCUUGAGGUGGAUCUAGGACCAGCUUUGUUGUGCUGGCAGAAGGCUCCAGUGCCAUCUUCCUACAAGACGUCAAUCAUCCCUGCCCUUCUCUGCCGUCUUGCCUUUCAUCCCUGCUACGGAAGACUUCCUCCAUUGGUCACUGCAUCAUGCCUGCCCUGACACCGGGUCCCAGCUUCUUGCCUUCAGAAUGGGCGCCAGCAGCAGCUUCUCUGCUAUUGCCUUGGCCAGGCCACUGCUUUCUCAGGGCCUUAGAAGGGAUUCCCACUGAAUUGCCAAAGGGACAGUUGGCAAUUGGUCAAUUGCUAAAUGCACUGAACUUGAAGCUGGAUUGGUCUGGCAACAAAUCCUGGCUCUGCCACUGACUAGGUAUGCGACUGACUGUAGCCUUGAUUUCCUCCUUUGUGAAGUGGGUACAAAAAGGAUAUCUUCAUUACAUGAUUGUCAAGAGGCUCGAAGAAGAGUGAGAAUGUGAAGGCAUCUGUCCUGGCACCUGGUGUGUCUGUCAGGCAUCUACUGCUGGGUGGAAAUCCACCAAACUCCAUGCUAAAGCAGUGCUUCGUUGUUCACAUGCAUUUCCAUCACCAGAGGUUCUGGCUAAAAGUGCACAGUCUGAUUCAGAUGAGCUGAGUGGGGCCUAGCAAGUUCCCAGGUGAAGCUGGGAGCACACUUUGUGUAGUGAGGAGCUAAAGGGCUUUAUGAUCCAAAUGUUGCCUUUCUGUGAUUCACUAGUGUGCUGACCCUACCCUGCAUCCACAGCGUCCACUGGUUCUUGCCAUCUCUGUGUUUGGAACCUCUUGCCUUAUCUCUUUAGUCUCUACUUUGCUCUGGCGCUGUUGCUGGCCAUUUUUGGCACUUUGAUCUACUUUCCUCUUUAGACUCUGACUCCACACUUCUUUUCUCUGUUUGACUAUGUCUGCCUAAAGUGGCACUGCUCACACUGUCUACCACUCUUUAAUUUAGUUUCUGGCAUAGCGUCACGGUACUCUGUUGCAAUUUGCCCUGAGGGCCCCUGUGGCUAAAACCCAUCCUAUUUUCCUUUUUUUCCUGGGCUUCCAGGAAGCUUAUAGUUAAGUUUUCUGCUGAGUUAUAACAGUGUUCUCUUUUCCAAAUUUUCUGAUACAAUUAGUUUCUUCCCACUUGCCACCCUUCUUUUAUGAUGUGGUUUGUAAAUAUUUUAUUUUUCAUUUUAUUGUAGAUGUUGCCAUUGCUAGCUGAAUGAUCUCAAGCAAUUCGCUUGAUCUCUCUGGGAUUGUUUUCUUCCCUAUAAAGUGGGGAUAAUAAUAGUACCCACUUCAUCAGAUUCUUGGGAGGAUUAAAGAAACUAGUAUCUGUAAGGUCCUUAGAAUAUUGACUGGUACAUGGUAAGCAACACGAGUGCUACUUAUUGUUUUAUAAACUGCCUCAAAUCCUUUUGGAAAGUGAGAUCAUCAUAAUCAGAAAACACAUGUCAACAUUAAAGUGGUGUUUACUAUGAAGUUAUUGUGUUACACUGGAAUACUUGAGUUAUGGAUCACCUUUUAAGGUAGAAAGAAAUUUAGAACAAGUGAAGUCAAAUGCAGUGGAUAGUAAACUUUAGGGAACUUGGUUUUAUAUUCUAAAAUCAGGGAGUUUCAAGAUGAGUUGAAAUGAAAUAGAGUUUUUCUGUGCCUUUAAACCUGAGAGACCCCUGAUGUGCCAUUCAAGCUUCACACCAUAAAUUGAGCUUUGAGCAUUGCAGCCAGGGCAGAAACAAUUUUCUUACAACUGCUCACUUCUCUUCUGCCUUUGCUCUAGCUUUUCGGUUCUUUCUAGCUCUGGACUUGGGCUGUGUCUCUCAUUGCUGGCUCAUGCUCAUGUAUUAAACCUGAUGACAGGAUUUGGCUACACUGAUUUGACUCUUGCUGUCCUCUCUGGUUUAUGUUUCUAUCUGCUUUAGGAAACCAUCCCAUUGGAUUGAGUCUGCUCCCAGGACUUUACUAGAUGGCCUUCUGGGGUCCUUGCCAUGCCUGCCCCAUACCCUCAUGAUGCCCUCAUUCAUUCAUUCAUUCAAUGAAAUUCAUGUCUAUUCUGUGCGAAACACUUAUGUAAGUCCUAGGGAAUACAGAAAUCAACAAAGCAAAGUUCUGGCUCUCAUGGAGCUUACAUUUUAUUUGGGGGAGAUAAGAGUAUAACAAAUCAAUACAUAUGAUAUACUCUCCACUCUUAAUACUCAAAGGGUGGUCCAUGGGCCAGCAGCAUUGGCAUCACCUGGGAGUGUCUUAGAAAUACAGGGUCUUGGGCCCCCACUCCAGUCCUACAGAAUCAGAAUCUUCAUGUUAACAAGACCUCCAGGUAUUUGUGUGCACUUUAAAAUUUGAGACACACUGCUUAUACAAAGUAGUGGGUCAGUGCUAUGAAGAAAAAUAAAGCUGGGGUGGGAUGGGGUAUGGCGUGUGUGUUCGUGCGCAAUUUUAUAUGGGACAGUUAGAAAAAAUUGCUUUGUGAAACUGCUUUUUCUAUACCACACAGCAUCUCUUAUGCUAAAACCUUCAAAAGAGAGAAAAUAAUCACAAUCCAAACUGAAUCUCGCCUUAGGAAGAGGAAACUAAAGUGGGAGAGUUUGCAUGCACAUUUCUUACAUGUCUACUCAGCUCCUUUUCCAGCACCCUUCAUCAGCUGAAGGUCUGAUUUUUCUUUUCCCUCUUCCACUACCUCUUCCAUCACUCUCAGAGAUGUUGAAUGCCACCUUCAAUUUUCUGUAGCCACAACUGAUAAACAUCUGCAUGAACAACCAUCCCACCAUUUCCUCCUCCUGAUAUGGCAUUACCCUGCUCCAAUUCCCACUCGUUCCUCAAAACUCCACUAGAAGGUGAAUGCGUCUCACCCUUGCCUUGGCUAGUUGGGUGCUCUGCUUCUCUCUUGCAUAGUACCUUGUGUCUCUCCUAUCACAGCACGGGAUCCCAUUGUCUUAUGGUAUUUGCUCAUUUGAAAGCCCCUCUCACUAGAAUGUGGGGAUUCUAUUUAUCUCUAUAUUUACUUAGUGUCUGGGCACAUUAUUUCCUCAAUAAAUGUUUUUUGGAUAAAUGAAUGCAUGCAUGAUACUUACCUGAGUUGCUCUGAAGAUGAUUUUCGUUAGCAUCUAUCAUCUCUUGUGGGUCUGAAUUUCCUGAUGAGGAAAGAGUCUCCAGGUUGUUCAGGCUCUCCCUUUGCACUUC